GCCGGAUGGGGUGGUGCCCACCUAUAGUCCCAGCUACUUGGGAGACUGAGACAGGAGGAUCACUUGAGUACAGGAGUUCUGGGCUGUAGUGUGCUAUGCCAAUGGGGCCACCAGGUUGCCUAAGGAUGGAUGAACCAGCCCAGGUCAGAAAUGGAGCAGGUGAAAACUCCUGUGCUGAUCAGUAGUGGGAUUGUGCCGGUUAAUAGCCACUGCACUCCAGCCUGUCUCUAAAAAAAAAAA
rnacentral:SRP_RNA from 1 species